CUUGUGGCAAAAAGUACUUAAGUUGGUAAACAGAAAUUUUAAACAUAACUUAUGUAAAUAUAUUUGUUUCAAAGUUACAGUUUAGUUUGUAAUAGUUUUAGUUUACUAUUAUUGUUUAAUUAUGUCACUGUGUACAUAUCUUGAAUGUACAGUUAAGUUUUGGUAUUGCGGGCUGCCAUAGAUUUAUUUAUAUGGGAGAUAAACUCAGGGUUUACUUGCGACAAAAUUGCGGGACAAAUAAUAUUGUGUAUUUUCACCAGUUUAGAGCCAAAAUAAGUCAUGGUU
rnacentral:lncRNA from 1 species